AUGACAAGAGGAAGAAUUGAAGAACUAGAACUUGGGAGUUGGGGUAGGAGAAGCAUCGGAGAGAAACACAGUACUCCCUCCGAUCCAUAUUACUUUUCACUCAAACGGAUUUAUCUAGAGGGAGUAGCUUUGGAGAAUUGGAGCACUAAACAAAUCCCAUAUUUUCUGCGAGUUUGCUUGUAUUCGUAUGAACAUUGUUCAUCAACAAUAAAGCUGCCGGCGAUCCUCAGAGGAAAAAGGAACGAUAACAAAGGUGAUCACAUCUUUUUCCCCCUUCUGAGCGGCACAGGGAGGAGUCAUUGGUGA
rnacentral:rRNA from 1 species